GAUGAACGCUGGCGGCGUGCCUAAUACAUGCAAGUCGAGCGAACAGACGAGGAGCUUGCUCCUCUGACGUUAGCGGCGGACGGGUGAGUAACACGUGGAUAACCUACCUAUAAGACUGGGAUAACUUCGGGAAACCGGAGCUAAUACCGGAUAAUAUAUUGAACCGCAUGGUUCAAUAGUGAAAGACGGUUUUGCUGUCACUUAUAGAUGGAUCCGCGCCGCAUUAGCUAGUUGGUAAGGUAACGGCUUACCAAGGCAACGAUGCGUAGCCGACCUGAGAGAGUGAUCGGCCACACGGGAGCUGGAACACGGUCCAGACUCCUACGAGAGGCAGCAGUAGGGAAUGUUCCGCAAUGGGCGAGAGCCUGACGGAGCGACGCCACGUGAGUGAUGAAGGUCUUCGGAUCGUAAAACUCUGUUAUUAGGGAAAAACAAAUGUGUAAGUAAAUAUGCACGUCUUGACGGUACCUGGUCAGAAAGCCACGGCUAACUACGUG
rnacentral:rRNA from 1 species